GUAGUUCGUCUGCUGGCCGGUGAUAAUCAGUUGUGAGAAGCUGUCGACUCCGUCGAAGACAGAGAGACCUGGACAAAUUGAGGCAAUUAACUAACUCCUGCUAUAAAGCCCAUGAUUACCAAAGUGAAUGCUGUUCCACCAAGGUCAGAUAAAAUUAGCUUUAGUCUGCUGGUUUUGAAUUCAGCGGAUAGUUGUAGUGAAUGAUGAAAAACCCUUAAUAAAAUAGAAUAUACUUUG